GCUUUUAGGUUUUGAAAAGUUAUUUCUGCUCGGUGUUUUUUAACAGCCGCGGUAAUUUGACCGUGCAAAGGUAGCAUAAUCAUUUGCCUWAUAAUUGAGGGCUGGAAUGAACGAAUAAACAAAAGCUUUUCUUUAUUGGAGGAAGUAGUUGAAUUUUCUGUCUUAGUGAAGAAGCUAGGGUAAAAAAGGGGACAAGAAGACCCUUUCGAGCUUUACUAAUUUUCUUUUUGUUUGUAAUUAGUUUGGUUGGGGCGACCCAGGAAUAUCUUCCUUUGUUAUUUUGAUCCACAGUUUGUGAUUAAAAGAGUAAGUUACCGAAGGGAUAACAGCGUAAUUUUCUUUGAGAGUUCUUAUUAACAGGAAAGAUUGCGACCUCGAUGUUGACUUAUGAUUUCCUUNUGGUGUAGCCGCUGUAAGGGUGGGUCUGUUCGACCUUUAAAAUCUU
rnacentral:rRNA from 1 species